rnacentral:rRNA from 1 species
AGCAGCCGCGGUAAUUCCAGCUCCAAUAGCGUAUAUUAAAGUUGUUGCAGUUAAAAAGCUCGUAGUUGAAUUUCGGGGUCAGUAGGCUGGUCGUGCCACAGGUACGCACUGGUCUCACUGAUUCCUCCUUCCUGAUGAACCGUAAUGCCAUUAAUUUGGUGUUGCGGGGAGACUGGACUGUUACUUUGAAAAAAUUAGAGUGUUAAAGCAGGCUAACGCUUGAAUACAUUAGCAUGGAAUAAUGAAAUAGGACGUUCGGUCUUAUUUUGUUGGUUUCUAAGAUUGACGUAAUGAUUAAUAGGGAUAGUUGGGGGGCAUUAGUAUUCAAUUGUCAGAGGUGAAAAUUCUUGGAUUUAUUGAAGACUAACUACUGCGAAAGCAUUUGCCAGGAUGUUUUCAUUAAUCAAGAACGAAAGUUAGGGGAUCGAAGACGAUCAGAUACCGUCGUAGUCUUAACCAUAAACUAUGCCGACUAGGGGAUCGGAUGAUGUUAAUUUUUUUAAUGACUCAUUCGGCGCCU